UCUCGACUAGUAUAUCGGUUAGUACACGCGCCUGUCAUUUGUUAGUCAGGUGGGGUGCGCGCGAAAGCUGGGUUCGACUCCCAGGUCGAGAG